UGUUUUCAAAAUUAUCUGUCGUUAUAUUUUGGCCUUAGGAUGACUAGUUUACCAGUGUUGGAUGAUAUGACUCAACGCGAGUUAAGAGAAAUUUUUGAUAAUACAAAUUUUGGACGAAUGAUGAUGAAUGUUCCGUUUGAUUUACCAUUACUGCAAAUCGUGCUAAUGGCAACAUCGUCUGCUGAGCCGAAUUUGCUAGAGGUAAACAUAUUCCACUUGAGUGAAGGGUCGGCAUUUCGAUUAGGUUCUGCAAGUUGCAGGGAGCUUGAUUUGCAAAUUUUCACAAGAAUUAUUGAAUUUAACCAUAUCGAAGUAUUUGAAAGUAGACGGUACCUAAACGAUGAAGAAAUAUUAAAUGCGGGAACCGAUUUAGCACGACAAUUGGCGGAAUCCGAAAUCAACUAAAUCGAGGACCUAGCGAAACCAUCUCUCCAAAAGUUGAAAUACCGGUUUCAAACGUCAACCAUAUGAAAAAUUAUUUGAGAGACAACAUCAUGGAUAAAGGAGAAUAAGCAAGAUAUAUGCUUAGGUUAGAGAAAUGAGUUACUCUAGAGUUACUCUUCUAGGAACGGAUGUAUAAAAUAUGUGAUGAUGCGCAAAACAAAAUUGUGAUGGAACUAAGAAAAAAAAUGAAGUUGAAAAUGUAGAUGGAAUUGAUUAAUUAUUCCAAGAAAUAGUUUCUUUCUUUAAACAGGUAAAAAGUUAAAUGGCUAUGAGCUGAUAUAACAUACAAAAAAAUCUUAAGUUCGAUAAGAUCUUUCUGAUUAAGUUUAAUAAAAAUGCAGCAAAUUAUUUUUAAUAAUUGGAAGCUGGUUAGAAAAAAUUAUCUGAAACUUAAAGGAGGUUUAGUAAUUAUACUCCCAGAGUAGCCAGAACAUCUUUAUGACCUGAUGCUUGAUGUUAAAUACGUGAAAUAAUGAUUUUAUUUAUAAUUUAAUCGCAAUCUUCGAAAUAUCGCCACAAAAACGAUUUACUUAUCUUUUUUGAAGUGUUUAUAACAUUUUCAAAAAGUGAAAAUUGAGCUCAAAAUAUAAUUAAAGCAUAACCUUUUCAACCCUGGUGCAUAUAUUGAAGUCUUGGAAAAUCGUGAUAUGCAGGGGAUUCUAUUUACAAACCUUGGUUUACUGUGAUUAGAAAGCAAUGUAUUCUAUAACGUUGAAAAUAGCAUUUAAUGAAACACAAUGGUUGAUAUAGUAAAUGUGAACUAGCAUUAUCCUUUACUUACUUGGAAUUGAUGGAACUUAACGCAAUUGUCAUCGUUCUAAUAUAUUCCAGUUGGAGGUGUGCAUGAAGACAAGUGAAAAUCAGCCAUCAGUCAUGAAAAAUAUAAAAUCUUAUAUCCAUAAUACUGGUUACAGUAACAACCAAUCCGUUUUCAUCAACUCUCUGGAAACCUGCAGUUAGUUCUGCAAAAGUGGAGUGAAGUGAAGUGAAUUUACGUUGAAUUAGGGAAGGGCAAAUUAUGGAUUUUACUUAGUCCUAAUAUUCAUUCUAGCUUAAUACACCACCCCUUUACAUACGAAUGAAUUAAUAUAUUUUAAUAACUGACGAAGGUAUGAGAAAGGAGAAGAUUUAGGGCUAUGGAAAUAUAAAUAACUAAAUAAGCUUUGUUUAUAGUGCACUUUCAUCUAUAGUUUGUAGCAGAAAAAGCAUCUAAAGGUCUACCGUAACUUUAAUAUGUUAAAGUAUAAGAUAUAUAACACUUGACAUGCUGACAAAUCAAUUAUUCGUACAGAAUACUAAGUCAAGAUAGAAUAACUUCAAGAUUAAGCUAUAAGUUCAAGUAAUAAUAGCACUAGAUUUA